AUACGGAAGGUCCGGGCGUUAUCCGGAUUUAUUGGGUUUAAAGGGAGCGCAGGCGGAGAUGCAAGCGUGACGUCAAAUUUCGGGGCUCAACCCCGUCUCGCGUCGCGAACUGCGUCCCUUGGUUGCGGGAAGGGGAGGCGGAACUCGUGGUGUAGCGGUGAAAUGCAUAGAUAUCACGAGGAACUCCGAUUGCGCAGGCAGCUUACUAAACUACUACUGACGCUCAGGCACGAAGGCGUGGGGAUCAAACAGGAUUAGAUACCCUGGUAGUCCACGCAGUAAACGAUGAUUACUAGCUGUUUGCGAUACAAUGUAAGCGGCUGAGCGAAAGCGUUAAGUAAUCCACCUGGGGAGUACGUUCGCAAGAAUGAAACUCAAAGGAAUUGACGGGG
rnacentral:rRNA from 1 species